rnacentral:lncRNA from 1 species
GAAGGUCCAGCGUCGGUGGUGUGCUGGACAGGUUAUGAGCCAUUUAUCUCAUUUGAAAUGUUUUAAUCUCAUGCGUUGGUUUUAAUUACCAUCCCUACAGCGCAUUGACAUAGGUCUAUUGUGGAACGCGCGUUUGUGUCCACUUGAUCUGACACCUCAAUUAAUGACGGAGAUUAAGUGGCUCACGUUUUUUUUAUUUUUUGAUUUUGUUUUAAUUCAUUUAAUUUUC